rnacentral:rRNA from 1 species
ACAUAAGUAACGAUAAAGCGGGUGAAAAGCCCGCUCGCCGGAAGACCAAGGGUUCCUGUCCAACGUUAAUCGGGGCAGGGUGAGUCGACCCCUAAGGCGAGGCCGAAAGGCGUAGUCGAUGGGAAACGGGUUAAUAUUCCCGUACUUGGUGUUACUGCGAAGGGGGGACGGAGAAGGCUAUGUUGGCCGGGCGACGGUUGUCCCGGUUUAAGCGUGUAGGCUGGUUUUCCAGGCAAAUCCGGAAAAUCAAGGCUGAGGCGUGAUGACGAGGCACUACGGUGCUGAAGCAACAAAUGCCCUGCUUCCAGGAAAAGCCUCUAAGCAUCAGGUAACAUCAAAUCGUACCCCAAACCGACACAGGUGGUCAGGUAGAGAAUACCAAGGCGCUUGAGAGAACUCGGGUGAAGGAACUAGGCAAAAUGGUGCCGUAACUUCGGGAGAAGGCACGCUGACACGUAGGUGAAGUGAUUUACUCAUGGAGCUGAAGUCAGUCGAAGAUACCAGCUGGCUGCAACUGUUUAUUAAAAACACAGCACUGUGCAAACACGAAAGUGGACGUAUACGGUGUGACGCCUGCCCGGUGCCGGAAGGUUAAUUGAUGGGGUCAGCGCAAGCGAAGCUCCUGAUCGAAGCCCCGGUAAACGGCGGCCGUAACUAUAACGGUCCUAAGGUAGCGAAAUUCCUUGUCGGGUAAGUUCCGACCUGCACGAAUGGCGUAAUGAUGGCCAGGCUGUCUCCACCCGAGACUCAGUGAAAUUGAACUCGCUGUGAAGAUGCAGUGUACCCGCGGCAAGACGGAAAGACCCCGUGAACCUUUACUAUAGCUUGACACUGAACAUUGAGCCUUGAUGUGUAGGAUAGGUGGGAGGCUUUGAAGUGUGGACGCCAGUCUGCAUGGAGCCGACCUUGAAAUACCACCCUUUAAUGUUUGAUGUUCUAACGUGGACCCGUAAUCCGGGUUGCGGACAGUGUCUGGUGGGUAGUUUGACUGGGGCGGUCUCCUCCUAAAGAGUAACGGAGGAGCACGAAGGUUGGCUAAUCCUGGUCGGACAUCAGGAGGUUAGUGCAAUGGCAUAAGCCAGCUUGACUGCGAGCGUGACGGC